rnacentral:lncRNA from 12 species
GCUGGUGAAUUCAGGGACUGCAGUUGUGCCGGGGGUGGCUGAAAUGCUCUCAGGGGCGGUGGUCCCAGGGAGUGUUGUGGUGGUCUCAGGAAGGAUUGUUGUCCCCGGUGUUGUGGUGGUCACAGGGAAUGUGCUGCUGAUCUCAGGGCUGCUGAUUUCGGGGAAUGUCGUGGUGGUCCCAGGGAGCGUUGCUGUCCCAGGUGUGCUGAGUGUCCCAGGUGUGCUGUGUGUCCCAGGUGCUGUGGUUGUGGUUCCAGUGAAGGCUGUGCUGCUCUCAGGGAAGGUAUUGGUGGUCUCAGGGAUUGCGGUGGAUCCAGGGGUAGUGGAAAUGCUCUCAGCGGUCGUGGUUGUGGUCUCAGGGAUGUUCAUGGUGGUCCCAGGGAGCGUUGUUGUCUCAGGGAUGGUGCUGGUCCCAGGGAAGGUGGUGGUCCCAUAGGGUGUGGUGGUCUCAGAGAAGAUUGUUGUCCCAGGGGUUGAGGUGGUUCCAGGGAGAGUUGAGGAUGUGCCACGGAUGGUGCUUGUCUCUGGGAUGGUGCUGGGGGUCACUGGGAGGGAGCUGCUCCCAGUUACUGUGGUGGUGCCCUCAGCACUGCUGAUGUCAGGGAAUGCCGUGGUGGUGAAAGGAAACGUUAUUGUCUGAGGUGUGCUGUUUGUGCUGGUCCUGUAGGGGGUGCUGGUGUCGGGACUGGUGAAUUCAGGGACGGUCGUUGUCGUGCCAGCGGUUGUGGUUGUCUCGGGGUAGGUGGGGGUUUUGUCAGGGACUGUGGUGGUCCCAGGGGUGGUGGAAAUGCUCCCAGGGGUGGUGGCUGUGAUCUCAGGGAUGGUGGUCCCAGGGGCCAUGGUGGUCUCAGGGAUGAUUGUUAUCCCAGGUGUUGUGAUAGUUUCAGGGACCCUCGUAGUGGAGCCAGAGGUUG